rnacentral:rRNA from 1 species
UACGUAGGGUGCAAGCGUUGUCCGGAAUUAUUGGGCGUAAAGAGCUCGUAGGCGGUUUGUCGCGUCUGCUGUGAAAACUGGAGGCUCAACCUCCAGCCUGCAGUGGGUACGGGCAGACUAGAGUGCGGUAGGGGAGAUUGGAAUUCCUGGUGUAGCGGUGAAAUGCGCAGAUAUCAGGAGGAACACCCGUGGCGAAAGCGGCUCUCUGGGACGGUACUGACGCUGAGACGCGAAAGCGUGGGGAGCAAACAGG